GCUAAUAGUUAUUAUUUUAGACAAGAGUAAAAACGUUUUAGGGGUUGGUAAAUACUAGCAGAAAAAAUAGGGUUUCCCUUCCAAGAAUGAAAUAUUGAUAACAAAACUGAAUACCAGGAUAAAAUAUAAUGUUAUUCUACUAUCAAUAGUAAAGGUAUUAUUUGUUUGUUUUCUGUAUUUAGCCUCCACAACCCCCACAUCCUCC
rnacentral:lncRNA from 1 species